GUGCUCACUCCGGCAGCACAUAUACUAAAAUGGGAACACAAAAGAUUAGCAUGGCCUCUGCACAAGGAUGACGUGUACAUUCAGGAAGCGUUCCAUAUUUUU